GGUCUGUCUUUCUAACCGACCAACAGAGGCAGGCUGGGUGCCUGGGCCGGCUUCCACCUGCCCGAGGUGCUUCCCGGCCCGCUGGGCAAGGACGGGGGCGCUCGGGCAGGGUCUGAGGGAGACCUGGGAUGGGCGGGGACUGUAAGGGCAACAGGUGACAAGCCGCGCCCCGAGCGAAGCUCUCGCCUCAGGGAUCGUGAGCGACCCAGGUGCCCCCAGAGUCCAGCCGGUCUUCCGCGGCACUUACGCGCUCGUGGGUCCACCGCCGGGCAGAACCGAAACUUUCUGGGGCCAAGCGGAAGAGGACGGGAACGCGGUGCUGACGGCCAUGACGCGCACACCAAGAGGGUGGCGGGGGCGGACUACAACUCCCGGCGUGCUCCCCGGGGCUGAGGCCUGCAACUCCCAUCGGACUCCCGGGGCUCCGACUACAACUCCCGGCGACUCCGCAGGGCGGGGUUUAAGUGCUCCCACCGCCCAGUCCCCGGACCGACUGUCCCACCCGCGACCCAUGCUGGCCCCAGGUUAACGCCUGCAACCCCGGAGGGCCACAAAUCAAAGGUGGAUAAACAUGAUGAGAUGGGAGCAAGCUUAAGGGUACCAGAUGGAUAAUCACAUAUUCAUACCAUGGGACAUGCCCCUCGGAUGCAUCCUCAAGAAGGGAGAAAAGUUUGAACCCCAAACCCUAAAAAGGAAAAGGCUAAUAUUUUUCUGUAACACAGCUUGGGUUGAAUAAAAUCUCCAGGACCAGUAAUGUUGGCCAGAAAACAGAAGCAUAAAUUUUAAUACAAUCCAUCAACUAGAUUUGUUUUGCUGUCAACAGGGAAAAUGAACAGAAAUCCUUUAUGUACAGGCCUUCGUGGCCCUAAGAAACAACCAUGGCCUUUGUCAGGCUUGUAAAAUGGAUCCAGUGAUGAUAGCGGCCAUUGUCAGGCAGCUGCCACCAGUUGGUUUGGGAGGCCUCUUAUUGGGUUUACCCAGGGCUCAAGCCCCAGAGGAACCAAGGGCAGAGCUUGGGUCAAACCCCACUGCCCCUUCUACCCCUUAAUAUCCAAGUCUUCCAGCCUUGGAUCCUUGCUCUUUCUAGCCAGGGCCACCCUCUGGACACCACCCCCUUAAGUUAUGCCCCUUUCAAGAGGUUAGCAGCCCCAGUGGACCCA
rnacentral:lncRNA from 10 species